CUGUGACCCAGCACAGUAAAUAGGUUAUGCUUUGAAGAUGCCACGUCUCUAACCCAGGUUUCCCUGCUCUGGACAUGUCAUGAAAAUGGAAUCAUACAAUAUGUGGUCCUCUGCGACUGCCUUCUCUCACUUAGCAUAAUGUUCUCAAGGCUCAUCCUUAUUCUAUUUGUCUACUUCAUUUCUUUUUAUCACUGGAUAAUCAUCUACAGUAUGGAUUGUGCCACCUCUUAUUCAUCAGAUGGACAUUUAGUUGCCUCUGCUUUGGGGCUGUUACAAACAUCUGUGUACAACAACCGUGUGGAUACAUGUUCUCAUUAUUUGUCCUCAGAGAUGUAUACAUAUGUCAUUUAAACCUUAAAACCCUGUGAGGUUCCUUCUCAGCUGCGCUGGAAGCCGGGGUUAAGCUUUGGUUUGAACCAAAUGAGAGAAAAGGUCAGGAGUGGGGAAAAGAAAUAGAACCCACUGUGGUAGUCAGUGUGACAGGCAUCCGGGUGUCGGCACAAACAGUGGGAUGUGAUGGGCACGUCUUCUUAAUUAAGGAAUAAUUUUGGGAUCUACUUAGGAAAGCUGUGAGACCUGGCUCAGUGUGCCACACAAGCAAGCCUCAUCAGCCCAGAUGCCUGCCCACAGACAAGAGAGCUGAGUAUUUCCCUAAUGUUG
ensembl:lncRNA